rnacentral:rRNA from 1 species
UACGUAGGGUGCGAGCGUUAAUCGGAAUUACUGGGCGUAAAGCGUGCGCAGGCGGUUCGUUGUGUCGGCGGUGAAAGCCCCGGGCUUAACCUGGGAAUGGCCGUUGAAACUGGCGAACUGGAGUGUGGCAGAGGGGGGGUGGAAUUCCGCGUGUAGCAGUGAAAUGCGUAGAGAUGCGGAGGAACACCGAUGGCGAAGGCAGCCCCCUGGGCUAACACUGACGCUCAGGCACGAAAGCGUGGGGAGCAACAGG